UGAGGACGCCACAUCUCACGUGUGGAAAUUUCACUAACGUGGCUGCAGCAAGUGACCAGACAGAUGGCCGCAUUUGAGUGGGAGCCUCUUUAGCAAGAGCUUUUUAAAAUCAAGCUCCACCCAGGAGCUCUUUAUCUUCUUCAGAACCCACGGGAUUACAGACAUCUGCACCAGCCCCCGUGGGACCUUGGAGUCCAGGAGAAUGAAUACCAAGGCAUUGAUGCUCAUGCUCCCUGCUGGCUGGACCCAGGGAUGGAGCAGUGUCCUCACUCAUUGCACUCACCCUACCCAGGAUCUGUUUUUAGAGAAAAUCCCUUAAUCAGAAAGGAAGACUAAGAGAAAAAGGAAGAAAAGAUCUACAAAACAACUAGGAAAAAGUAACAAAAUGGCAGUAGUAAGCCCUUACCUAUCAAUAAUUACCAUGAAUGUAAAUGGAUUAAAUUCUCCAGUUAAAAGACAGACUGGCUGAACGGAUUAAAAAACAUGACCUAACUAAAGUUGGCCAUUGAACAAUAUGAGUUUGAGCUGCAGGAGUCCAAUGUCAUGCAGAUUUUCUUCCACCUCUGCCACUCCGAGUCAGCAAGACCAGCCCUUCCUCCUCCUCUCCCUCAGA
rnacentral:lncRNA from 1 species